rnacentral:rRNA from 1 species
UGUAAUUUGCAGAGGGCGCUUUGGUGUUGGCAGCGGUCCAAGUUCUUUGGAACAGGACGUCACAGAGGGUGAGAAUCCCGUACGUGGUCGCUAGCCCUCACCGUGUAAAGCCCCUUCGACGAGUCGAGUUGUUUGGGAAUGCAGCUCUAAAUGGGAGGUAAAUUUCUUCUAAAGCUAAAUAUUGGCCAGAGACCGAUAGCGCACAAGUAGAGUGAUCGAAAGAUGAAAAGCACUUUGGAAAGAGAGUCAAAUAGCACGUGAAAUUGUUGAAAGGGAAGCGCUUGCAGCCAGACUUGCCUGUAGUUGCUUAUCUAGACUUCUGUCUAGUGCACUCUUCUAUAGGCAGGCCAGCAUCAGUUUGGGCGGUUGGAUAAAGGUCUCUGUCACGUACCUCCUCUCGGGGAGGCCUUAUAGGGGAGACGACAUGCAACCAGCCUGGACUGAGGUCCGCGCAUCUGCUAGGAUGCUGGCGUAAUGGCUGUAAGCGGCCCGUCUUGAAACACGGACCAAGGAGUCUAACAUCUAUGCGAGUGUUUGGGUGUCAAGCCCAUACGCGUAAUGAAAGUGAACGGAGGUGGGAACCUUAGGGUGCACCAUCGACCGAUCCUGAUGUCUUCGGAUGGAUUUGAGUAAGAGCAUGGCUGUUGGGACCCGAAAGAUGGUGAACUAUGCUUGAAUAGGGUGAAGCCAGAGGAAACUCUGGUGGAGGCUCGCAGCGGUUCUGACGUGCAAAUCGAUCGUCAAAUUUGGGCAUAGGGGCGAAAGACUAAUCGAACUAUCUAGUAGCUGGUUCCUGCCGAAGUUUCCCUCAGGAUAGCAGUAACGUAUUCAGUUUUAUGAGGUAAAGCGAAUGAUUA